AUUGAACGCUGGCGGCAGGCCUAACACAUGCAAGUCGAACGAGUGGCGGACGGGUGAGUAAUGUCUGGGAAACUGCCUGAUGGAGGGGGAUAACUACUGGAAACGGUAGCUAAUACCGCAUACCAUCGGAUGUGCCCAGAUGGGAUUAGCGAGUAGGUGGGGUAAAGGCUCACCUAGGCGACGAUCCCUAGCUGGUCUGAGAGGAUGACCUGCCACACUGGAACUGAGACACGGUCCAGACACCUACGUGAGGCGGCAGUGGGGAAUAUUGCACAUUGGGGGCAAGCCUAAUGCAGCCAUGCCACGUGUAUGAAGAAGGCCUUCGGGUUGUAAAGUACUUUCAGCGGGGAGACGUUACCCGCAGAAGAAGCACCGGCUAACUCCGUGCCAGCAGCCGCGGUAAUUC
rnacentral:rRNA from 1 species